GUCAGAUGCUCUCAGAGAACGGUAUGAGUGAACACAAGUCAGAUGCUCUCAGAUAGAGAACGGUAUGAGUGAACACAAGUCAGAUGCUCUCAGAGAACGGUAUGAGUGAACACAAGUCAGAUGCUCUCAGAGAACGGUAUGAGUGAACACAAGUCAGAUGCUCUCAGGUAGAGAAUGGUAUGAGUGAACACAAGUCAGAUGCUCUCAGAUAGAGAACGGGAUGAGUGAACACAAGUCAGAUGCUCUCAGAUAGAGAACGGUAUGAGUGAACACAAGUCAGAUGCUCUCAGAUAGAGAACGGUAUGAGUGAACACAAGUCAAAUGCUCUCAGAGAACGGGAUGAGUGAACACAAGUCAAAUGCUCUCAGAUAGAGAACGGGAUGAGUGAACACAAGUCAAAUGCUUUGAGGGUCCCAGGUCAGAGCUAAGUGCUCAGUAAGGGGCAGCAGCCCCCACCCAUUUCAGGUGACCUUGCAGCUAUGAAACAAAGGGUGAGAAGUAUCAGGAAGGGGUCACGGAACACGGCUGGGCAGCAGGAGCCUCAUCAGACACAGGCUCCCCCCGCCCUCGGCGUGCUGGUGCCAGCCUGCCACAUGGCUGCUUAGGGACGUCGUGGCUGUCAGCCACAGCUUGCCCUGGGUAACGGUGUGCAGCACGCUUGUGGGAAAACCAGCAGCACUUGUUAAAAUACAGACUCCUGGGCCCCAGCCCAGUGUCAGAGCCUCCCUGGGGAUGGCAUCCUGAACCUUGCACUUCAAGGAAGCCCCACCCUUUACCCCCAGUCUCGGGGCACUUUGCAAGUGCCACAGAGCAGGAAGGAAUUGCUGAAGUAACGUGUUUUGGAGGGAGAGAGCUAAU
rnacentral:lncRNA from 1 species